GCCGUUCUCAGUUCGGAUUGUAGGCUGCAACUCGCCUACAUGAAGUCGGAAUCGCUAGUAAUCGCGGAUCAGCAUGCCGCGGUGAAUACGUUCCCGGGCCUUGUACACACCGCCCGUCACACCAUGAGAGUUUGUAACACCCAAAGCCGGUGGGGUAACCUUUUGGAGCCAGCCGUCUGAGGUGGGACAGAUGAUUGGGGUGAAGUCGUAACAAGGUACC
rnacentral:rRNA from 1 species